rnacentral:rRNA from 1 species
GUUUCAGCAGCCGCGGUAAGACGGAGCAGGCAAGCGUUGUUCGGAAUCACUGGGCUUAAAGCGCGUGUAGGCGGCCUUGCAAGUACCUUGUGAAAGCCCUCGUCUCAACCGAGGAACUGCUUGGUAUACUGCAAGGCUUGAGGCGGGUAGGGGUGCUUGGAACUCUAGGUGGAGCGGUGAAAUGCGUAGAGAUCUAGGGGAACGCCUGUGGCGAAAGCGGAGCACUGGGCCCGACCUGACGCUGAGACGCGAAAGCGUGGGUAGCAAACGGGAUUAGAAACCCUGGUAGUCC